rnacentral:rRNA from 1 species
GUAGGUGAACCUGCGGAAGGACAUUG